GUAUCAGCUCAGCUGGUAGCGCAUGAGACUCGUAAUCUCAGGAUUGUGGGUUUAAGCCCUGCACUGGGCACC